UGAGUAACACGUAUCCAACCUGCCGUCUACUCUUGGACAGCCUUCUGAAAGGAAGAUUAAUACAAGAUGGCAUCAUGAGUCCGCAUGUUCACAUGAUUAAAGGUAUUCCGGUAGACGAUGGGGAUGCGUUCCAUUAGAUAGUAGGCGGGGUAACGGCCCACCUAGUCUUUGAUGGAUAGGGGUUCUGAGAGGAAGGUCCCCCACAUUGGAACUGAGACACGGUCCAA
rnacentral:rRNA from 1 species